UUAGAAUUAUUACCAUUUAAAAAGUUAUUUAAGGAGCCCAAUACCAGAGUAAGUCCAGGGACUUGAUGCAGGGCCAGCUUCCGCUGGUGAAUCUCCCUUCACACUGUACAAUGAGGCAGCAGACGUGGGGAUAGACUGUAACAUCUUGAAAUAUAAAACCAAUGUCUUCAUCACAGUGACACUGAAAUAUGCUGUAUUAGCUUGCUGGAUCAUCCUGGAAACUGGCAGAAAAAGGAAGCACACCCCAUAAGGGCUUUGAAAAUCUGUUUGUUUGAGUGUUUAUUGGAGGAGUACUGGGGAUUGAAUUCAGGGCCUUUGCACUGAGGUACAUCUCUCAUUCUUUAAAAAAAAAAUUUGAGACAGGUUCUCAGGUCACUAAGUUCCCAGACUGAAUUUCAACUUCCCACAUUCCUGCUUUAGCCUCCCAGGGUGCUGAGAUUAGGCAUUUGCUACCAUUCCCAGCUGAAAAUGUUUAAAAAAGAGGCUUUGUAUAGAAGUAUGGUCAGGGCUGAGGAAAACAAGCAAAAAUGCUGAGAUAAUCAUGGGCCAGGGAGAGGGGAUGUUACCAAUGCUGGGCUGGAUGGGCCAAGAGGAGGUAACACGGAACACAGGGUCCUUGAGGAACUGGAGAAGAAAAUGAGAGGCACCGAGAGCAGGAGCUGUAGCCAUUGCUGGGAUUGCAGGACGAAGCUGGACAGAGGGAGAAGCAGUAUGUUGGCCUCUCUCUUCCUCCACUUUUGAUCUGCGAAUGCCUCCUACUGGCAGUGUAUCAUAUAUGGAGCUGAAGGACAAGAACUCCUGGGUGAUGCAGUCCACAGGAGUCAGGACUCACUGCCCAGUGGCACAGAGCAGAGGUGAGCACGCAGGAGAGGAUGCGAAUAGAGACAAACUAGCGCCUUCUUCCGCAGUUUCCAGAGAAGCCUGUGCCAACUAACUGAGAUUAUACCAUGGAGGCCAUGGAUUCCACUCAGAAAUCUAACUGUGGAGAAGGUUGCAGCAGAAGCCACUGUAUGAGCCACUGACAGAGGGCAUCACAAGAAUGAAGUGAGUCCACUUGCAGAGCUCAUGGGACCUGGAGGGGAGGCAGCUCCAGUGCCCCAUUGCUAUGAGAGAAUUGAGCAUCAUGAAAUGGAUCACACUGAUAGCAGGACAGAGCUGUUUCUUGCUGGCUGUUUCUGUACUCCUCAAUCCCCUAUCUCAACUGCCAAGAAGCAUACACCUCUGAGACCACAACUAGAAGGGAGGCAAGGUGGGGGACACGUGUGGAAGGAAACGAGGAAUGGACUGAAAACAGAAGUACAAUGGUCCACACUGACACACCAGGGCACGAUGGUAAAGAGAUCUGAAGUUGUACUUGGCAGGAACAGUUGGAGCUAUGGAAUCUUUAUUUUAACCAACACAACCUGCAGGAUUUUCGCACAGCAGAAUGAACAACUGUAGGAAGGGGCUGCAUGUGAUCUGGAGCUUCAUGGUCUUAAUGCAAAGACACGACGACGGCCUUGUUCCCAAGAAUAGUGACGUCUCUUUAUCUAGUGGUUUCUCCGACUUGGAAAGAAACAAACUCAAUCCUUGAAGUAGCCCAGACUCUAGGAGGACAGCAAAUGGAACUCUACCAAGGAUCAUUAUGUAUUCUGGAUAGAGUGGGGAGAAGUAGUGAAGCUGGAGACUGCUUUUCACGCAAGAGAUCGUGUGGAACUGGUGGUAGCAGUAGGGAUACAAGAAGGUGGUCGAGAUCUGGAUAUAUUUCCAAGGUAGGACCAGCAGAGAUUGGUUUGAGACUCUAAAAUGCUGGGCCUGAACAACUGGAAGGAUGAAGUAGUUGUUUACUGGGACUGAAAACCUGGAAGAAAGGACCGGCAUUGAAGAAGUCCACCUGACAUCCCACUGAGAUGUGGGGUUAGCGGGCUGAGGUUGAAAGAAGUCCAGGUCAGACCCACAAACCAGGGGUCACUGGUACCACUCUGGCUUCAAGAAUAGAGUGAUGUAAACCCAGAGCGGAGUAGAUGCUUAGAAUUUGACCAGAUGAGGAGUAAUCAGGAGUCAAGGAGAAGAAGCUCCUAAGGAGGAUGUGGAAAGCAGCGAAGGUGUUUCAGGGAGGAGGCAGUGGAAAGCGUAACAAAUGCUGCUCAAGUAUCAGAUAAGAUGGCUCAACAUAAUGGAUAUUUAGUUGGACAGAAGUAAACCGUGAUUUUGAAAAGAGCCACACUGUUCUGAGGUAGUAGGGACAAAAGCUUCAUCAGCAUGAGGUUCAGCAGAGAAUCGAGGUAUGUGGUGCGAGGAAGAGACCCUGGUGAGAGGGUUUGGGGGCUGGCUUGCUGGGGUGGAGAGGAGUCGCAUUCUAGCCUGUUUAUCUGCAGUACAAAGGGAAAUCUGGAGGUGCACGAAGGAGAGAGUACAUUUGCAAGAGUAAUUGUCUUGAGUAGGAAGAGAAGAUAAUGGUCUAACCUCAGAGAGAAAUACGAAUGUAAAUAUUUCAUCCAGUAGAACAGGAGGAAAGGUAAAAUACAGAUGAGAAAGGGAAAUUCUUUUCUGAGGCUUCUAUUUCCAAGGAAAGUAAGAAGUCAAGUUGCGGGCUGAGAGCAAAGACGGAGAGGAGUGGGAGAUGUGGAGCUUGCAGACCUUUUCUGCAGAGGGCCGCUUAGUAAAUCAACAACCUCAGGGUCCCUGCCACAGAGCUGCCGCUCUGCAGCUGGAGCCCGAGAGCAGGUAGAGGGAAACUGCGAGAGGCUUUAUGCAAAUAAACAGCCGGUGAGGUUGUUGAGGGGGUUGUAGCUCAGUAGCACAGGACUUGUCUAGUGCUCAAGUGUGAAGCCCUGGGUUUGAUCCCCAGCACCAACGAAACAAAAACAGGUUAUUAAGUAUUAUUCAGGUUUCGUUUGAUUUUUAUUUCUAAAUCUUUUUACCACCUUGUUCUUCCUUCUAUGAGUGUAUUUUCAUUUGUCAGGAUUUUAAUGGGUCCCAUAAUCGCAGACGGUACCAGGUAUAUGAAGAUGCUCUUUUAAUCAAGAAUAGAGGGGGUAAAAGAAAGUAAACGGUGUUAAGUAUUCUCCUUUAAACUAGAAAGGCAAAAGGCUGGGGUUAUCUCAACAUUCUUUAAACAUUACACAGCAUAUGACUGAAAAAUAUGGUGAACAUUUCAAUAUUAAACAUGUGUAAUAAUAACAAUAGAUUGCCAUCCCCCCCGUAUUUCUCAUUUUGAACGCUCUCAGUCCGCCACUCUUGGCACUUUCCAGAGCAUUUCUGGAAGUUCUGUUUUGUGCCUGUAGCUGCAGGAUGGUGGCUGCCUUGAUGUCCUAAUCAAUUUAAACAUCUGCCUUUUGUGGUCAUUUGGAUUGUGGAGAAGAGGCAGAAGUGACACAGUGCCAGACCAGCUGACCGGGGUGGCUGAGGACACUCUGAUGUCUUCUUGAGCCUGCCUUUCCUUAGGACGGCCCUCGGCGGCAGCACUCGCUGUGCUUUUUACCACACCUCGUCAGACACCCCUGAAGGGACUCCUGGAACUGCUUCAGAGAGUGGCAAAGAAUGAUGGGGUAAGUCUGGAGCAAAGGGAGCACUGUGAGGUGGAUUAAUGGUAAUAAAUUUAAAUGUUCACCACAUAUGUUGAUCACAGCUUAUAGUACUUAAGGAAUCAGUUUCUGUUACCUGGAAAAUUCGUUAUGACUAAGUCUAAGAUUUCUAUCCUCUCCUUCCAUGUCAUCUUCACAGUGCUUAAGACAGCAUUCUGCUACUGGAGAGAGGAUGCCAAGACCCUCCAACCUUGGGUCCUGCUGGUUUAGUCAGCACUACUCAAGCCGGUCUGCCUCUCUCUCUCUCUCUCUCUCUCUCUCUCUCCUUCCCCUCCUCUCCAUCUCCCCCGCCCUUCCCUCUCACUGGUACCCAGUGUGGUCCCCUAAUGACAGAGCUCAUGGAUGGACUGUGGCCCAGGCGGGGCCAGUUUCUAGGUGAGCACUGUGAAGCUACUUACCUUUGCAUAGAGUGAAACCUCCACCUCCUCUCUCACCACAUAGUUUACAAAGCAACAAGGCUGAGCUCCCAGCAUCCUGAUCUGGAGACAGUUUAACCUACCAGCCACAGGUCCCACAUAUAGUUUUAAACAACUGAUAAAAGCAUCAGCAAUAAAAGACUGGGACCGAGAAGAAGAGACUUAAGGGGACCUAGCUAUUAUUUUGUUUUUGUAUGAAUACAAAUUUGUAAAGAGCUCUAAAUGUUCUUCCCCUCAUGAUUAGGAUCCUAAACAAAGACUUUUCUUCUAGGAGGAAUGAUUUUUAUUAGAACUAGAUACUUGGAUACACAAAUCAAAUAUGAACUUUAAACACAAAACACUAUUGCCUUUGACAGUGGGUUUAGGUCACUUAUUUUGUAUUUACCUCACAUCUUCUACUUAAAGAAAAGACACUGCUGUCUUGACUUUCUGGUUUCUGCAGAUGUAUUAUAUGGUGUUCUUGUCCAGGAGACAAUCAAUCUUAUUACCCUUCUUAUAAAACUACUACCAAAACAGGUUUGCAAGUGGAUGUAAUGGAAGCUGCUGGCAUUUCCUGAGGAACUUUGAGCCCCGAGAGAUGUCCACACAUCCCGGACAGUUUAUAAGGCAGUGUUCUUCGGAAGUACUACACUAAACAUCGCUCUCUAUGGUUCUUUUCACAGGACUACAAUUUAGUUAUUUAAUUCAAGAAAUCCACGAAUUUAAUAAUAUAUUUUGGGAGCUUUGUUAUGUUAGGAGAAAGCAAGAUAACUAAACAGCUCUUGAUCUAGGCUUUCUCAUUGUUGGGCUAUUGAAUAUAUCUAUGCGAAAUUAACUAUAAACAGUUUACCUAACACUGUAAAGCUAGAAAAAAUAAAAGAUUAAUGUGUAACCAUCAGAAGAAUUAUUUAAGACCCUUAU